rnacentral:rRNA from 1 species
GACCAGACUCCUACGGGAGGCAGCAGUGAGGAAUAUUGGUCAAUGGGCGGGAGCCUGAACCAGCCAAGUCGCGUGAGGGAUGACGGCCCUAUGGGUUGUAAACCUCUUUUGCCGGGGAGCAAAGUGCCGCACGUGUGCGGUUUGGAGAGUACCCGGAGAAAAAGCAUCGGCUAACUCCGUGCCAGCAGCCGCGGUAAUACGGAGGAUGCGAGCGUUAUCCGGAUUUAUUGGGUUUAAAGGGUGCGUAGGCGGCUUUUUAAGUCGGGGGUGAAAGUCUGUGGCUCAACCAUAGAAUUGCCGUUGAACCGGGGGGGCUUGAGUAUGUUUGAGGCAGGGGGAAUGGGUGGUGUAGCGGUGAAAUGCAUAGAUAUCACGCAGACCCCC